UGUAAACUAUGCUUUUAGUAUCUAGUAAUUGUUGACUCUAUGACUCCAACUCCGAGCAAACUCCAGGCGAACACUCUGCUCCUCACCACAGUGCUGA